UACGGGGGGGGCAAGCGUUGUUCGGAAUUACUGGGCGUAAAGGGCUCGUAGGCGGCCAACUAAGUCAGACGUGAAAUCCCUCGGCUUAACCGGGGAACUGCGUCUGAUACUGGAUGGCUUGAGUUCGGGAGAGGGAUGCGGAAUUCCAGGUGUAGCGGUGAAAUGCGUAGAUAUCUGGAGGAACACCGGUGGCGAAGGCGGCGAUCCUGGACCGAUACUGACGCUGAGGCACGAAAGCGUGGGGAGCGAACAGGG
rnacentral:rRNA from 1 species